rnacentral:rRNA from 1 species
UAAACUGAGAGUUUGAUCCUGGCUCAGGAUUAACGCUGGUGGCGUGCUUAACACAUGCAAGUCGAACGAAUCUUGAAAAUGAAGCUUCGGUGGAUUUUUCUUCUGAUUAGUGGCAAACGGGUGAGUAAUAAAUAAGUAACCUGCCUUAAAGCCUGGAAUAACUUUUCGAAAGGGAAGCUAAUACCGGAUACACUUUUUAAUUCAUAUGAAUUUUAAAGGAAAGAUUUAUCACUUUAAGAGGGGCUUAUUUCUGAUUAGCUUGUUGGUGAGGUAAAAGCUUACCAAGGCUACGAUCAGUAGCUGGUCUGAGAGGACGAACAGCCACACUGGAACUGAGACACGGUCCAGACUCCUACGGGAGGCAGCAGUGAGGAAUAUUGCGCAAUGGGCGAAAGCCUGACGCAGCGACGCCACGUGAGCGAUGAAGUCUCUAGGGAUGUAAAGCUCUGUCAAGAGGAACGAUUAUGACGGUACCUCUAAAGGAAGCCCCGGCUAACUACGUGCCAGCAGCCGCGGUAAUACGUAGGGGGCAAGCGUUAUCCGGAUUUAUUGGGCAUAAAGAGCGCGUAG